rnacentral:rRNA from 1 species
UACAGAGGUCCCGAGCGUUGUUCGGAUUCACUGGGCGUAAAGGGUGCGUAGGUGGCUUUGCAAGUCUGAUGUGAAAUCUCCGGGCUUAACCCGGAAAGGUCAACUGAUACUGUGCGACUAGAGUGCAGAAGGGGCAACUGGAAUUCUCGGUGUAGCGGUGAAAUGCGUAGAUAUCGAGAGGAACACCUGCGGCGAAGGCGGGUUGCUGGGCUGACACUGACGCUGAUGCGCGAAAGCCAGGGGAGCGAACGGG